AAGCACAGAGUGAGCUUCCCAUUCCCACCAGCUAUUCAGUCAUCCAUUCAUUCAGAGAUACAGCGUCUCUGGUGAAUGGCACCAACCGCAGCACAAUGUGUGUGAAAUCUUCCUUACUACGAUCAUUUGGUGGCAGAGACAGCAGAAGAGGAAGCAGCAUGCAGGGAUGUUAUUUUUCUGCGGCUUCAGUGUGCAAUUAAGUGGCUGGCACUGAGGACGCAACCCUGGGACCUGAGGCUUAGAUUGCCACCACUGGAUGGUGUGAGCAAAGUGCACAAGUUGUCAACCUGAUCAACCUUACUGCUCACCGUUUUCUACUUUUCUUCCUGAAAGAGGAAUUAACAGAUCGCUGUGUUUAUCAGAUGCUGACUCUAUACUAGAAAAACUCCUCACAGCCCAACAGGAUUAGACGUGCAGGAUCCUUAUUCAUGUAUACAGUGAGAUGUCUUGGCGGCCACCCUGGAGAUGCCGAAGAGACGAGACAUUGUUGCCAUUGUACUGAUUGUGUUGCCUUGGACGCUGCUCGUCAGUGUUUGGCACCAAAGACAGGCCUCUGUCCUAGCUGCUCAAAAAGCUGACAAAUUAAGAGGUCGCUCGGACUCAAGAGCCUUAAAGGAAUCCUUCUCACUUCAGAACAAUGACAUUGUGCACGUGGUCCGAACUGAGUAUGUAUACAGCCGGCCCCCGCCCUGGUCCAAAAUCCUUCCUACUCUCCACAUCAUCACUCCUACUUACAGCCGCCCAGUUCAGAAGGCUGAGCUGACCCGACUGGCCAACACGCUGCUUCACAUAUCAAACCUGCACUGGAUCGUGGUGGAGGACUCCCAGAGGAGGACCGCUCUGGUCAGUCGCUUCCUUCAGGAAACAGACCUUAACUACACCCAUCUCAAUGUGGAGACACCUUUGAACUAUAAAACUAGAGGGGAUGGUAGGAACCCCAGAGUACCCCGUGGCACCUUGCAGAGGAACCUGGCCCUACGAUGGCUACGAGAGACCUUCACCGUGAACUACAGCCAGCCUGGAGUUGUUUACUUUGCAGAUGAUGACAACACAUACAGUCUGCAACUGUUUGAAGAGAUGAGGUCCACUAAAAAGGUGUCUGUGUGGCCAGUGGCAUUUGUGGGUGGGCUACGAUACGAGUCACCCAAAAUAAAUACCAGAGGCAAGGUGCAUGGCUGGAAAACUGUCUUUGACCCACAUCGGCCCUUUGCUAUAGACAUGGCUGGGUUUGCAGUGAACCUAAGCCUAAUUCUGUCCAAACCUCAGGCUUAUUUCAAGCUGCGAGGGGUGAAGGGAGGAUACCAGGAGAGUAGUUUACUGAGGGAAUUGGUGACUCUGAGCGAGUUGGAACCUAAAGCUUCAAACUGCACUAAGGUAUUAGUUUGGCACACACGAACAGAGAGGCCUGUGCUGGUAAAUGAGGGCAAGAAAGGAUUUACAGACUCUAACGUGGAGAUAUGACUUAUUUGAUUCUACACAGGUAAUAGCAGAGAUUUAGAAAUGCAAAUUAAUGCAGUUCUGCACAGUAAUUAUUUUGGGGAAACGGCCCAAGCUAGGAGAGUGUAGUUCAUACAGGACACUCCAUGGGUGUAACUAACAACAUCCCUGUCCUGUAAAUGUUUAAGAAAAGAAGUUGUUAUUUAUGACUGUUAUUCUGAGAACAUAAAGCAGUUUACCUUAAGGGUAUUUAGCAACCAAUUUACAUACAGUCAUGGUAAGAUAAGUUUUUUUUAACCUCCACACCCCCUAUUGUUUUCCACUUAUCUAACAUUGAGUCAUGGAGGUAACAGGUCCAGGAGAGAAACCCAGACAUCCCUCAUCCCAACAAAACUCUCCAGUAUCCAUUUCCUCAUUUUGUAUUCACGCAUUGAAUUUUCACCUUUCCACUUCCAUAUUUUACCAAUGUACGGAAACUGGAAAAACAUAGUAUGCCUAAAUCUCACUUUUAUUUUUAUUUUAUUUUCAGAACACAUAUCGGACACAAAUUCCAUUUAUUAGGAUUCUGAUCCCAGGUUGUCAUGUUUGUUUAGGGAAGGACCCAAUUCAGAUAUACGGGCAACAGCUCUUUAAUAAAUAAAAUAAACAAACUUAAAGGGGGUGUGGCCAUGGAAAACAGGAAAUUAAGCAUAAGCAGAAAAACAGGCAGACUGGUUUAGGAGUGAAGUAUAUGAUCCAGCGGAGAAGAAUAAAAACCAGAGACCUUAUAUGCUGAGAGAGGUGUGGAAAAUGACAUUGGAUGCCGGACAAUAUGGAGGAGCUGAGGCAGAAGGAAAGAAAACUUCACUGGGAUCUGUCUGGACUCAAACCAACCAAAGAGCUCCUGUGGCCAAAAAUAUAACAACAGCAAAAUAGCUGCACUUAACCUCGGCUACAGAAAUGGAAGCACCGAGCCAUGUGCAUGUACUGAACUCAACGUAUCAAAGCACAACUGCAGAGGAACUUUGUGGCCUGUUCUGCUGCGGAGCACUGGGCUGACAGUGGGAGGAGCUGCCAAAUGGAUCCUGCCUAGUACGGUCAACACAGAGAGCUGAGUCAAUGGAUGUUACCAAACCUAAAGUUCAGAGAGUUGACCACUGUCCAAUAAAGAUCCCUCUUAGCACAGACGCCACCAGCUAAGCAUCCAAUAAGCAUUUAAUAGGGCUCCUUUGUUCUGAGGCCAUCGGGCUGUUGGACACAGAGUUGCACACAGGAAUCAAAGAAAUCCUUGUUUGAAGUAAUGCAGCACAGACUGGCAGAUAGAGCUGACGGGAUCUGAGCCCCCCUCUAUUAGUACUGUACAACACUAGCCUAUUUAGAUACCACCCUGAACCCUUCACUAAAUAGGAGUUGUAUUUCUGCUCAGCACACAUUCACUUAAUCAGCUGACACACACAACCCAAUGCAAUGAUUUGUUAUUGUCAAACACAAGCAACCUUUCACAUUCAUGUGUUAUCAGCACUUCCUGAUAUGCUGCAAGAACUACUGAGCUGUUCUCCUAUUAAAGAGAAGAUUCAGUUUUUUUAAUGAUCUGUGAACUUCACAGGUUUGCUAUUAGCUAGUUAAACCAGCAAGCAGUUUCUGCUUGUUGAUUAUGGAACUGCUUGAACAUUAUGGAAAACUGUGGAACACAGAGCCAUGACUCCAAACAGUAUUCAAUAUUCUUCUUACACAUACUGAUUAUUCCCAGUGCUGCUUGCAAAUGGUGAUUUCUUCCAAGACAGAGUUGCAGUAGCACUCUUGAACAUGUCAAAACUCUGUACUGUUCUGGCUUUGAAGAGUUUGGUGGGUUCUCUGUGUACCUGGUAGUAUAAUGUAUGAUGUUAUAGUGUUGGCUGGGUUUCAUGAGAAAGUCAUUUACUUCUGUCCCAUAAAACUAAUUUUUGUUACACAAAUGUGCAUGUUUUCAUUUAAUUCUCCAGCCUGAAACACACACCCGAUAGUUACAUUUAUAACAGCCAAUCAAGGACAGGGCGGUAAGUAUUUGACUGGAAACUCCCAGGUGACAGGCUGUGAUAACUCUACUCUGGAGAUUCAUUGUAUCCAAAUAUAUUGUAAAUGACAAAACAUUGUUCAAAGGUUUAUAUCCCUUUAGCCUUUUCAUAUUUUAUCCCUAUAAAACCACAAACUUUGAUGUAUUUUAUUGAAAUUUGAUGUGAUAGGCCAACUCAAAGCACAUAAUUUAAGAAGUGAAGAAACAUAAAAAGACAAUGAGAAAUAGUUAGCAUCAUAUCUUAAUAAAAACUUUGAAAACGUGUGGCAUGGAUUUCUAGUCAGUCCUUUGAAUCAAUACCUUGUAGAACUGUCCUUUACUGUGAUUACAGCUGCAACUGCCAAGGUGUGUGUUUCCUCCAGCUUUGUACAACUAGAAACUGAAAUGUUACCCUAUUUCUCUGAAUAAAAUAGUUGAAACUCAGACUGAAA